rnacentral:rRNA from 1 species
CAGCAGCCGCGGUAAUACGAAGGGGGCUAGCGUUGUUCGGAUUUACUGGGCGUAAAGGGCGCGUAGGCGGGCGAAUAAGUCAGGGGUGAAAUCCCAAGGCUCAACCUUGGAACUGCCUUUGAUACUGUUUGUCUUGAGUUCGAGAGAGGUAAGUGGAACUGCGAGUGUAGAGGUGAAAUUCGUAGAUAUUCGCAAGAACACCAGUGGCGAAGGCGGCUUACUGGCUCGAAACUGACGCUGAGGCGCGAAAGCGUGGGGAGCAAACAGGAUUAGAUACCCGAGUAGUCCCUGUCUCUUAUAC